AUCGGAAUCACCGAACUGCCACCCCACCGCCACCCACCCCGUCCCCGGAGCGAAAAGGCAGGCAGGGGGAAAACGGGAUUUUUUGCCGCAAGCGAGGCGAGCGCCAGAGCGAGCGAGAGAGCUUUUUCCUCCCCCCCGACAUGACACCGCAUCUGCCCGUGUCGCCCCACCCCGCCCACCACCUGCUCGACGCGCUGCCCCCGUCGCCGCACCACCGCCGCCUCCGCAGGCGCCGCCGCUUCUGCCCGCCGCGCCCCAGGGCAUCAUCCUCCCCCUCCUCCCUCCGCUGCCGCGCUGCCGCCGCCGCCGCGCCGCAGCCGGCGGCGGCGGCGGCAGCGAGGACGAGGGUGUUCGUCGUGUCGGACCUGCACACCGACUACCCGGAGAACAUGGAGUGGGUGCGCCGGCUCGCGGUGCGGGCGGGGCCGCCGGGCGCCGGGGAGGGCUUCGACGCGCUCGUCGUCGCCGGGGACGUGGCGGAGACCAGGGACAACUUCGCGCGCACCAUGGAGGCCCUCAGGGCGCGCUUCGACGCCGUCUUCUACGUGCCCGGCAACCACGACCUCUGGCUGCGCCGCGAGGGUGGCCGCUACGUGGAUUCGAUGGAGAAACUGACUGCAUUGCUUGAGGCGUGUAGUGAGCUGGGUGUGGAUACAGGCCCUAGAACGAUAGGUGACUUAGGGAUCAUACCAUUGUUUUCAUGGUAUCACAAGAGCUUUGACAAGGAAAAGGAUGUUAACAGUGUGCGUGUUCCUUCGUUGGAGAUGGCUUGUAAAGACUUUCAUGCUUGCCAAUGGCCUUCGGACUUGGGAAGUGAUGAUGAGGCUCUUGCUCUUUACUUUGACAAGUUGAAUGACAAGAACAAUGAUGCUAUUGAAGAAGUGAAAAAGAAGAGCAAACAGAUACUUACAUUUUCACACUUUGUACCAAGGCAAGAGUUAUGUCCAGAGAAGCGAAUGCUUUACUAUCCAAACCUUCCGAAGGUCAUCGGCUCUGAUUAUUUGGAAAGAAGGCUGAGAGCUAUACACAACAACGCUAAAGAUGGAGCAGCCUGCCAUGUAUUCGGGCAUACACAUUUCUGUUGGGAUUCUGUGGUUGAUGGUAUCAGGUAUGUACAGGCGCCUCUAGCAUACCCUCGGGAAAGAAAGCGAAGGAUAAACGGAGGCCAAGGAUGGUUGCCUUUUUGUGUAUAUCGUGAUGGCUUCAACCCUGAAAUAUACCCGGCUAUAUGGUCCGACUAUUACAACAAGAACAGAAGGGAGCCCGAGAACACCCAGCUUGCACCGUGGGUUGCCAAAUAUUUUUCGAAGUACUACGGACCCCCUGUUUUUGCCAAACAAACUGAAUCCGGUUGAGCUGUCCGGUACGACAUUGAAAUCCGCAUCAAACAGAGAAAAAGAAAAAAAAAGGAGAUAUUGACAUUUUACAUGUACAUGGUUUUUUUCUUUCUUCCCUUUUUGUAAUUUUUGUUGUUUCCUUUGCUACAACUCACAACUCUUGGGCAACGAAUGGCCCCCUUGUGUUGGAUGUAUGCUGAAAAAAACAAUGUAAAGAUGCUUGUAAGCAGCCUCGCUGCAAAGAUAGUGACAUGCAGAAGCCAUUAGAUAUCUCUCUCUUCAUCUACGGCGUGGCUGAUGGGUCUCCGUCUCACUGCUCUUUUUUGUUGUGUCGCG
rnacentral:rRNA from 1 species